UACGAAGGGGGCUAGCGUUGCUCGGAAUCACUGGGCGUAAAGGGUGCGUAGGCGGGUCUUUAAGUCAGGGGUGAAAUCCUGGAGCUCAACUCCAGAACUGCCUUUGAUACUGAGGAUCUUGAGUUCGGGAGAGGUGAGUGGAACUGCGAGUGUAGAGGUGAAAUUCGUAGAUAUUCGCAAGAACACCAGUGGGCGAAGGCGGCUCACUGGCCCGAUACUGACGCUGAGGCACGAAAGCGUGGGGAGCGAACAGG
rnacentral:rRNA from 1 species